AACGAACGCUGGCGGCAGGCCUAACACAUGCAAGUCGAACGCCGUAGCAAUACGGAGUGGCAGACGGGUGAGUAACACGUGGGAACGUGCCCAAAGGUACGGAACAACUCCGGGAAACUGGAGCUAAUACCGUAGGUGCCCGAGAGGGGAAAGAUUUAUCGCCUUUGGAUCGGCCCGCGUCUGAUUAGCUAGUUGGUGGGGUAAUGGCCCACCAAGGCGACGAUCAGUAGCUGGUCUGAGAGGAUGGCCAGCCACACUGGGACUGAGACACGGCCCAGACUCCUACGGGAGGCAGCAGUGGGGAAUAUUGGACAAUGGGCGCAAGCCUGAUCCAGCCAUGCCGCGUGAGUGAUGAAGGCCCUAGGGUUGUAAAGCUCUUUCGCCAGGGACGAUAAUGACGGUACCUGGAUAAGAAGCCCCGGCUAACUUCGUGCCAGCCGCCGCCGUAACAC
rnacentral:rRNA from 1 species